rnacentral:rRNA from 1 species
GCCCUGGAAACGGGGUCUAAUACCGGAUAACACUCUGUCCCGCAUGGGACGGGGUUGAAAGCUCCGGCGGUGAAGGAUGAGCCCGCGGCCUAUCAGCUUGUUGGUGGGGUGAUGGCCUACCAAGGCGACGACGGGUAGCCGGCCUGAGAGGGCGACCGGCCACACUGGGACUGAGACACGGCCCAGACUCCUACGGGAGGCAGCAGUGGGGAAUAUUGCACAAUGGGCGAAAGCCUGAUGCAGCGACGCCGCGUGAGGGAUGACGGCCUUCGGGUUGUAAACCUCUUUCAGCAGGGAAGAAGCGCAAGUGACGGUACCUGCAGAAGAAGCGCCG